GGGGCUAAUUGGGCCUUUGUGAAUCAUUAUUCAUUAAGUUGUCAUACAACUUAAUUCAAUGGGCUUGACGUUCGAAGCCCGUUGGGCCUUAAGGUCCAAAACUAUCCCGAGGUCUUUAACGAACUUAUUCGUUUGAUUAAUUAACAUAUUAAUUAAUCCUUGCAUAAAAAAAUUAAACCAUUUUAAUUAUUCUUACUCAUCUCCAUUGUUUCUUCAAUCUCCACCUUACACGGUGUACAAUCCAUUAGGUUCCUUUUAGCGAGGCAGUGGGCGAUUAAAAACCAUUUCAAAUCGAUUGUGAAUUGAAACUUACUUUCAAUUCUCCCUUUAGUGAUUAUACACGUUUAGGGCUUCCACAAACCAUGAGUGACACCUAGCAGCAUAUCAUGGUUACCCAAGCUAAUCAGAAGAGGUGGAGAACCUAUUCAGUUUAGGAUUACAAAUGCAAUACGGUCUUCUCUAAUACAAUACUCUUGACCACAUUGUUUGGUUUGAUAGUUUAUUCAUGUCUACUAUCCAAUGUGAUUCGUGCACUUAUAUGAUUACCUUGAAUGUGAUUUGGAAUGACUUCCUAAAUCUCAUUCAUACUCUGGGCAGAGAUUCUUAAUCAUAUCAUAGAGUAUUCUCCCCCAAACGGUUUGAAGGUUAGAGAUCCCUUGUUGCGCAUUCACUUGCCUUCAUGGCUAAGUGGCUUAACUCCGACGAUGCCGUGGACACCCGCGGAUGAGGGGUGACUUUGACAUAAUCAAAAAUCAAGUACCUAACCACAAGACAACUAUGAUGCCUCAGGUCAAAGGACUACUUUGCAUUAUUCCAACCAUGAGUUCUCAUGUAACAUGAAUAUGAGAACUCUUUGUUGAUCGUGUUCAGUGAACUCAUUCUCUAUUGAGCACCUACGUACUUGUCUUGAUGUCACACACACCAAUGACUCGAGACUAGUCACUCCCCCUGAGGGAAGACACAGCACGUACUGAUCUUAACGGACUGUCAAUGCCCAAUUGGCAAUCCUAUGAUCAGGAACGUUUAGCAUGUGUCUACGAAAGAAUGGCCUCAUGAAUCUAACUUCUUUAGAUCGCAUUCUCCCAAUCACAUAUUCCUUGGACUUAUCGUUUAAGCGUAUAACAUUUAUAUGAGACGGCUCAAACAAUAAUCUUUGCCCUUGAUAUUAAACUAGAUUAGUUUAACAUGUGAAAUGUCCGUAAAGUAUCAUCAUAUGAUUGGUUUUAGGGCACAUUUCCAACAAUCUCCCACUUGCACUAUAGCCAAUAAGCUUGGUCAUCAGUGAUGAUACCUCUUCUGUAGUCAUUUCAUAAAUGGCUGAGUAGUAGGCCUAGACAAUGGAUAUCUAUAUGUUAUCCAUAGAAGCAACCUUGAGAAUAACGACGUCACCAUUAUACAUGAUUCUUAAUCAUGUGGUUUAGUCUCUCAUUUGAGUUCGGAUCGUGAUGAGACCUUGAUUCCCUAGCUUGAGCUAUCGCCCCAUUAGUGUCGUAGUGUCGGUACACUAGAGACACUUUCUGGUUG
rnacentral:lncRNA from 1 species